AAAUACUAGGUCAACUAAAUUUUGACCAUAUUAUUUGUAACUGACCUUGAAAGGCCAGCUGCUAAAACAAUAAAAUAAAGUAUAAUUGUGACCCACUCGCAUAACCAUCUUAACCCUUCUCUCUCAUCAUAGCCCUUUCUCUCUCUUCUCUCUCAUCUAAAAAAAACGGAACUCCACUCAACCGUCCUCAACCGAUGGUCGCUAAACUUCAAUUCACUCACCCGUCCUCCAUGGUCGCUGAACUUCAGUUAGCCCUCACCUCCAUUGUCGCUGAACUUCAGUUAGCCCUCACCUCCAUUGUCGCUGAACUUACUCAGCCCUCUCUUUCAUUUUGCUCAAGAGUAAAGAAGAACGAAACCCUAAUUUGUUUUGCACUUCAUUAAAGUAGGACGAAACCUUAAUUUCAUGCUACACUCUAUCGAAAUCGUCCUCUGAAGCCUCUCCUCUCCGUUGAAGCCGACUAAGUCGUACUCUGAAUUCUCCAUUGAAGCGGCUUAUGAGCUUUCUGUUCUUCACUGAAUCAGUUUCUUAGGUCAAUUGUUGAAUACGUAGUGUGAGUACAUAGAUGGUGGUGGUAGGCGGAUUUUGUUGUUUAGAGUUCCUUCAAUUCGACAGAUUUAAUGAUCUUAGACUUCGAUUUGUGCUCUUAAACUUCUCUCUCGUGAUCUUCCUUGUUCUCCUGAAGUUUUCGCCUCGGUUUCUUCUAUCUAUCGCGACAAUGAUGGUGAUGUUGAUGAGGCUGUUUCGCCUUCAGGUGAUGCUCAAUUGGGUGAUUUUUCUCCUAAAUCGUAUAAAGUGAGGGUUUUUUUUAUUUAUUGUUUUGGAUUUUUAAUGGGUUUUUUUUUAAUAUUGAUUUUGUGGUGAAUUUUGGGUGUUUUGGUUUUUUGAUUUUGUUGGAAUUUUGUUUUUUUAUUUUUCUUGCUGAUGUGAUUGUUUAGAUGAUUGUUCUUUUAAUUUUUCGGGUUUUCUUUGAUGGGUUUUGUUCAACUUGUGAUUUUGAGUUGAAUUUGGGCUGUUCUAGUUUCGAGUUUUUCAGAAUUUGGUUUCUUUGCUUCUAAUGGAAUCAUUGAUUUUUGCUUGAUUGAGUUGUUUAGUUGAUACCCUUUUGGGAUUUGUUAAUUUCUGGUAAUUCUUUAUUCAUGGUAUUUAAUUGGAUUUUUGGGAGAUUUUGUAGGACAUUGUUCUCAUUAAGUUAUCUAAGCCAAUGGUUGAAGAAUUGGGUGAUGGUGAAUUUGUUAAUUUGAAAUGAGGAAUUUGAAUGCGAGUCUGAGAGGCUCAGGGAUCUAUAAGAGAGCGCGAAAAAUAAGGAAAAUGGGUUCUCACGAAGAGGAACCUCAAUCUUUUCACCCUAGUCUCUCUCCUCCUGAGACGUGUAUGCACAAGUUCAGGCUCUAUGAGACUCGAUCUGUAUCCCUCGCUCUUGAUUGUUCUUGUUGUGAUUGUUGUUUGUUGUUUUUGAAUUUUGUAUUGUUUGUUUGUUUGUUUGUUUGUUUGUUUGCUUGCUUGCUUGCUUGUUGUUGUUGUAUGAAGAGUCGAGAAGGGCAGAGAUGUAGAUGGGAUUUGAUUUCAGGUCUUAGGUAUAACUCGCGGGAAUUUACUAACUAAGCUAGCUUGACAUUCAUUUUUGGAUUUCUAUUAUGGAUGAUUGUUGACUGGUUUACAUUAUUUGGUUUAGAGAUCUCAAUGAAAUGUUUUAUAGUUUUUACGUUAGUUAUUGGUUUAAGUGUAAUAAGUUGACUAGGAUUCUUGAAAUUUGUGAUUUUUUCUUUUUAAGCUGAGUUUUAAGUUUGAUUUAUGUCAAUGUUUUGCUAUGCUUCAUUUGGGCUGUUUUUUUUUAUUUCCAAAAGCAAAUUUUCGCACCGAAAAAAGAGAAUUAAUAACAUUUGAUGUGGUUGUAGUAGAGGAUGACUUAGUGUGUAAACUAUACAAGGGACUAUGUAUCCUGUGCACCUUAUAGGAAUGUGAUUAGGUAUAGUUUAAUGGUUACUUCUUAGUGUUGAUGUGUUCCCAACUUCACAUUAUGAUUACCUGUACACUAGACUAGGGAAUUUGUAGUCUGUACACCUUGUAGGAAAUGUGAUAUGGUAUAGUUAAAUAGUUAUCAUUUAUUGCUGAUGUAUUCCAAUUAUGAUUAUGUGUAAACUAGACAAAGGAAUCUGUAGUCUGUACACCCUGUUAGAAAUGUGAUUAGGUAUAGUUUAAUGGUUACCACUUAAUGCUUAUGUGUUCCCACGAUGAUUAACUUUUAUUCAUAUGAUGAUAGACUCUUAUGUUUUACCCAAAUCGCUGUUCAAUGGCACAGUACAUUGCUCAUUGUAGAGAAAUUUGUUAUGCUUCAAAGAAAAUUACAAAUAUGACCUUGGGUAUGUCUGCUUGAGGAUAUGGCAAUCUGAUCAGUUUAUAUAACUAUGGAGAGCAUUUAAGUUAUUCCCAGAUACAAUUUUUUUAAAGUUAUAUUAAUCAUCAAGAUUUAGCAAUUGAUCUAGAACACAAUUUCUUAAACUUCUCUGUUGUUUGUUGAUGCGGGAAAAAUGCUGUUUUUUGGUUCCUGCAUGUGAUGUUAAGUAUCUCGCAUGAUGAUGUCUAGACAUCAAGGAGAUUAAAAAGGGCCUGAGAAUUUUAGUAACAACAAAAUUAGAGUAUCCAAUCAGGAGUUGCUGCAUCCCCAUCUGAAGUACUUUGCAGCUAUAAACUGCAAGAGCAGCACCUUCUGCAAUAUAAAUAGUUCCUCUCUAAAGUUGUAGGAAACUGAUUUUAAAAGACAGUCUUCAGUAUUAGAGAUGGUAAAAACAGUUGUUGCUUGAGUUAAAUUGGAAAAAAAAUUGUACUAAAGAGAGGAUUAAAAAGGUGAAAAUUUGGCUGGUGUACUGUGGAAGAUGGUCUCAUCUUAUGAUUGGUGAAAGAAGGGGGAGGAGGGAGUAUCCAUAAUCCUUAGAUUAAUUUAUUAGAAUAGACAUUGCAUUCAAUCUUUUUAAGAAUUUCAUUAGAGAAGAAAAUAACCAUUUGAUUAUCCAUAUGCUCCAUAAGAUGGUUGUAGUUUUAUUGAAGGUCUGAUUCUAAUCGUGAUUAUUGGACUGAAGAUGAACUAGAGAAAAUAUAUAUUUUACAUGUAAAUGUAUUGAUGAAUUAUGCUAAGGAUGUAUCUAAGUGAAUAAAUCAGAUAUUAUUGGUAAAUUUUGCCGUAAAGUUUUGGUCUUGAUGAUUAGGGGCUAAUAGGUAUAGCCGUAUAGGAUUUUGUGUUAUUGAUGUUGUAUUUAAUUUGAUUGUUAAAAUAGGGUUGCAGGACGCAUCUUGUAUCUCUAGUUAUGCGAAUUUAAUUAUGGAAUUUGAGGAUGCAGUGGUUAAGCAACGGCCGAAAUGCAUGUCCAGUAGCGCUCUAACAUAAUUGAAUGAGAGCCAUUUCCAGAGCCGGGUUGAGCAUCAUUUGACUGAACUUAAAGAUGGCUUCGUCUUAGAAUUUUAUGUACUGGUCUGUAUGAAAAGGCUAGAAGUUAAAGAGCAGAACUCAUAUAAAUUCAACUCUGUCAUGAAAGAAUACAAAGCUACACAUGAUUCAUUCCAGACUCUUGACUAUUAUGCACGAAAUGUCUGCUUAUGGUUGGACAAGUUCAUUCCCAACAGAUCAGCUAUGGAUUUCGAUUACGCCCACUACACGCUACAUUUCUCUUCUUCGUGCUGCUGCUGUUCUGCUUCUGCACUGUUGUUCCGCUCCUGUGCUACUGUUAUGCUACUUCAUUAUUUUCUUCUUAACUCUUGCCAUAAGUGUAUGGGCUUUGGAGAGCAGUGAAGCACCCUUGGCUCUAGUUGUUGGGAGUAGUGGGACUCUAGAGCAAGAAGAAGCUAGUGAAGGUCAUUUUACUAAAAAUUGUUAAAUGAGAUACAUUGGCUUUAUGUGUUAGCUUUCUAUAUUCAUCUUUAAUAUAACCUUGUAACUUUUCAAACAAUUUGUUAUUAAUGUAUACUAUAAAGUUAACAUAAUUUUUCUGUUA